ACUCCUACGGGAGGCAGCAGUAGGGAAUCUUCCGCAAUGGACAAAAGUUUGACGGAGCAACGCCGCGUGAGUGAACAAGGUUUUAGGAUCGUAAAGCUAUGUUGUCAGGGUCAGCACAAGUACGUGAGUAACUCUCCGUCCUAGACGGUACCUGACCAGAAAGCCACGGCUAACUACGUGCCAGCAGCCGCGGUAAU
rnacentral:rRNA from 1 species